UACAGAGGUCUCAAGCGUUGUUCGGAUUCACUGGGCGUAAAGGGUGCGUAGGUGGUGGAGUAAGUUUGAUGUGAAAAUCUCCGGGCUUAACCCGGAAACUGCAUUGAAUACUAUUUUGCUGGAGGUUUGGAGGGGGGGGACUGGAAUUCUCGGUGUAGCAGUGAAAUGCGUAGAUAUCGAGAGGAACACCAGUGGCGAAGGCG
rnacentral:rRNA from 1 species